UCUGAGGACAGAAGGAUCAAUGAAAACUCAGUUUCGUUCUUGAUAUAAUGCCACGAUCAGUUUAGUCAUUGUCUAUUCUCCACAUACUGAAAAAGUGAUUGCACCGGGUCCAUUCAGGAAGAAGAAAAAAAGUAAGAGAACAGUUUCUAUCUCCCAUCUGAUGUUUGUCAACUGAUUACCAAGUCCUGUCCUAGGGAUGUACUUUACUAGACCUUGAAAGGAGCCACACCGGGCAAAGGCUGGUUAAAGUGAGAGGCAGGAACGUGGGCAUAGACAGAGGCAUUGCCCUGUUGUGGGACAGUCAGAGGACCCUCAACAGAGACAUACAAGAAAUUAUUCGUAAGCCCGUUA